rnacentral:rRNA from 1 species
GACGAACGCUGGCGGCGUGCUUAACACAUGCAAGUCGAACGGAAAGGCCCUGCCUUUGUGGGGUGCUCGAGUGGCGAACGGGUGAGUAACACGUGAGUAACCUGCCCUUGACUUUGGGAUAACUUCAGGAAACUGGGGCUAAUACCGGAUAGGAGCUCCUGCUGCAUGGUGGGGGUUGGAAAGUUUCGGCGGUUGGGGAUGGACUCGCGGCUUAUCAGCUUGUUGGUGGGGUAGUGGCUUACCAAGGCUUUGACGGGUAGCCGGCCUGAGAGGGUGACCGGCCACAUUGGGACUGAGAUACGGCCCAGACUGCUACGGGAGGCAGCAGUGGGGAGUAUUGCACAGUGGGCGGAAGCCUGAUGCAGCAACGCCGCGUGCGGGAUGACGGCCUUCGGGUUGUAAACCGCUUUCGCCUGUGACGAAGCGUGAGUGACGGUAAUGGGUAAAGAAGCACCGGCUAACUACGUG